rnacentral:rRNA from 1 species
UACGUAGGGUGCGAGCGUUAAUCGGAAUUACUGGGCGUAAAGCGUGCGCAGGCGGUGAUGUAAGACAGAUGUGAAAUCCCCGGGCUCAACCUGGGAACUGCAUUUGUGACUGCAUCGCUGGAGUGCGGCAGAGGGGGAUGGAAUUCCGCGUGUAGCAGUGAAAUGCGUAGAUAUGCGGAGGAACACCGAUGGCGAAGGCAAUCCCCUGGGCCUGCACUGACGUCAUGCACGAAAGCGUGGGGAGCAAAC